rnacentral:rRNA from 1 species
UAAGUAGAUAGUGAAAUCUGGCGGCUCAACCGUACAGGCUAUUAUCUAAACUGGCAAACUCGAGAAUGGUAGAGGUAACUGGAAUUUCUUGUGUAGGAGUGAAAUCCGUAGAUAUAAGAAGGAACACCAAUGGCGUAGGCAGGUUACUGGACCAUUUCUGACACUGAGGCACGAAAGCGUGGGGAGCGAACGGGAUUAGAUACCCCGGUAGUCCACGCCGUAAACUAUGGAUACUA